UGUGAAGCCAAUUAUCGUGCCAAGAACCGCAAGGAGUUCAAGGAGGAAUUAAGCCACAGCAUCAAUGCCCUGCUGCCCAGGUACAUGCCCGAAAUCGAGGCCUUGCUUGAUGUCAUCCGUCGAGGAAUACGAUGCCAGCGCUCACGCAGG